rnacentral:rRNA from 1 species
GGAGAAAAGCAGGGGAUCGUAAGACCUUGCGUUAAUGGAGCGGCCGAUAUCUGAUUAGCUAGUUGGUGAGGUAAAGGCUCACCAAGGCGACGAUCAGUAGCUGGUUUGAGAGAACGACCAGCCACACUGGAACUGAGACACGGUCCAGACUCCUACGGGAGGCAGCAGUGGGGAAUUUUGGACAAUGGGGGCAACCCUGAUCCAGCCAUUCCGCGUGAGUGAAGAAGGCCUUCGGGUUGUAAAGCUCUUUCGCAAGGGAAGAAAACUUAUGAUCGAAUAAAUCAUGAGGUUGACGGUACCUUGAUAAGAAGCACCGGCUAACUACGUGCCAGCAGCCGCGGUAAUACGUAGGGUGCGAGCGUUAAUCGGAAUUACUGGGCGUAAAGCGUGCGCAGGCGGUUUUGUAAGUCGGAUGUGAAAUCCCCGGGCUCAACCUGGGAACU